UGAAAUUAAGAGUUAGUAUAUAUUUAACAAAAUGUGUUUUUGAGAAGAAAAUGAUCAAUUUGGCCAAUUGUGUCUUGUAGGUGUGAGUCUGUGUUAAGAGUUUAGAAAAAAUUUGUAAAUAAAAAAGUAUGGGUAAGUGCUUGUUAGCGAUUGAAAAAAACUGUAACUGCGUUAAAAUAUUUUGUUGCAUUAAUCUCGGCCACAUUACAGUUUUUGUCGAUUGCUAAACGUCAGCGGGCGCAACUGGAGUCACAUGUGCAAAACUCUGACUCCAGUCUGCACAGCAGCAGUUCAUGAGGACCAAACUCUAGUUUGUUUUUCAUUGCUUGAACAGUUUUCAAAACUCUACACACUGAUCACAUGACGUAUCCACAACCUGCACAACACUGUGGAUUUACAGCACUUUGUUCAAAUGCAACACACUGCUGUCAGAACUGUGAACCAUGCAUUCAACACGGAAUGUGCCUUUAAAACACUGAUGAUUCUAUUCAGCUGAAAGGCUGAGCAGGUGUCUUGUUUUAGAUAUAUAUAUAUAUAUAUAUAUAUAUAUAUAUAUAUGUAGAGCUGAGAAAGACUCAUUUUGUAAGUGGAAGAAGGAAGACGGGUUGGUGGAGGGAGACAAAGAAGACAAAGAGCUGUUACUUCAGAUGGAAUAAGGGCUUCACUUAUGGACCAUGUGGUGAACCACGUCUCUCACUGAGAGAGUUGAGGGUGGAACCCGAUCUGCAAACAUCCACAGUGGCGUCUGUGAUGCAACUUCUCCAUCAUACAAACCGGUGAGAGGAGUUUCUCUCUGCCUGGAGGUGCAAAGUGUUUGGUCUCCACCCAAAUGACCAGAUGUCUCUUAUGGAAGCCGGAUGUGAGGACACGAGUCCAGAGGACUGCUAGGGAUGGAUGAGGCUUCCAGAAGGUUCUUCCCCAGGUUGAUGGAGAGAGAACAUUAGAUGUGAUGGUGAUGAGAACCUGUGUCCUGAUGCUAGAGAGGCAGGAUCAGCCCUCACUUAUUUGUUCACAUUACAGUCUGUACUUUUACUUUCUACCUUUUUUUCUCAUUACUGUAAUUCCAUAAAUUACUACAGACUAUUGAAUCCAACUGCUAUUAUUCAUUUACCUUAAAGAAUUGUUAUGUUCUAAAAAAUGUAAUAAAUCAUGUGAAAGAAUGUCACUCUUUUUGUUGAAGAAAAUCUUACUUUGUAUGACGUCACUGAAGUGGUUCAAAGUGUAAAGAUGAACAGUGAGUAUUUUGUGUGUUGGUGUUUGUACUCUCAGUGUGUUCUGAGUGACAGUGUGUGUUCUCAGUGUUUGCUGCACUGAGCCUGUUUGUGUUACAAGUUGUGUUGCUUGCAGUGAGUUGCGCAGGUGAUGUGAGCGGUUGAGCUCAGGUGACUGUUGCUGCUGCAGACUGGAGUCAGAGUUUUGCACAUGUGACUCUGGUUGUGCCCACUGACGUUAAGCAAUCGGAGAAAACUGUAAUCGCAUAGAUUAAUGUGUUUAUAUUAACAGCCCAAUAUAAUAGCAAAAUUGUUAAGCUGGACCCAAGAGCAGACACGGAGACGGCAGAUUUACUGUAUACGAUUCUUUAACAGCGAGAAUAGAGAGAAAGACCAACUGCAUAUCAGCUCACAGGAGGUGCUGCAAAAGGGGGUUUCAUUAUCCCACACAUCUGCAUUUUUAUAUUAAACCUAAAAGGGAACUCAGAACCAGUGACCAUUGGACAACUGUCUACUGUCACCUGUCAAAUCUAAGUGCCAGUGGACACUCAUCUCCUGCAUGGAUGUCUUUUAUGCUUGUUUGGCAGGGUCAGACUAAAUCAGUUUGACCUGCCAUACAGCCAUAUACAGUAAAGUAUAUCGUAUAGUAGAGUAUAUCUAUGUAUGUGUAUAUAUAGUUAUGUGCAUCCGCUCUGUAUGUUUUUAGUGUCCAACAAUACAAACAUAAUAUUUUCUUUAGUCCAUUUUUUAUUUAACACAAUUAUUCCUCAUUUAUUUACUGUGUUAUUUAGCUCUAUACUCGUGCUGUCUUCUUUUAUUGUUUCUGCGUGCCAGUAAAGGGUAGAUGAUGCGUAAUAUCAUAUUGUAUUUUUCUAUACACUAAGUGUGUCGAGCGAUAGUAGCUUUGUAUGUGCAGUCGCCGGCUCCGACCUCACAUCUAGAAAUACAACUCGAUGACUUUGGGAAACAGUUGCGACUGUUAAAACAUAAUCAAGACGGUUAAAGAUGAGCUUUAUUCUGUUACGGCCCUGUUUGAAGUGUGUUCAACGGUGCACCCAAAAUCUGCCCUCCAAACAUGAUCCAAACACAGGUUGUUUUGCACCACCCAAAAUCCACCUGUGAAUCGAGAAUUACCGAACAGCACCACAUGUGUGUGGUUUGAAACCGAGAGAAUGCUGACGUGAAUACAUAAUUAUGGUUCUGUCUUCUUCUUCUUACGCUGACAAUAUCACACAAUAACUUGUUAUUAACAUAUUUUGAUAGAAUUCUACAUUAAAGCUGAUCUUAUUGAGACAUUGAAAAUAAUUUUCUCCAUCUGUGACAAAGAUCUUGUAAGCUGAACUGAGCUUCAAAAUAUCUGAUUCAUGUGUAUUUGUCCAAAUUGCAUUACUACAAAUGCCUCCUGAGCAGCUGAACCUCCACUGCGAGCCGAUUGGUGGAGGAGACGUGGUAAUGUUCUCCAGCUCGAUCUGUUUUAGGGGGAAUCCAGCCUCUCGAGGUUCUGCUGAGCUUUCCGAGCACGUUUCGUUCUCUCCUCGAAGAAACUCUGCUGGUGCUGGUUCCUCUGAUCCAACCGGACCAACCACUGCUCCCUCAGACUGCAGAGAACAAGGAAGGAGCAGAUGUUCGGACAUUCGGUACCAGUGACAUUAUGAAAUACAAACUGACUACUUGAUCCUUGUGUUUGAAGGUUUACCAGGCAUUACUAGUUAUUACUUCACAGGCAGGAAAAAGAGCAGAACACAAAUGAAAAACGUUUCAGUGUUAAUAAUCACACAGAAAGGAGGGUUAGGGUUAGAAGAAUUUGUUCUGCUCACGAGUCCAGGCACUUAUUGGCUCUACACAGCGGUUCGACUCAAAUGACUGAGGGAUUUUUAUCCCACUGCUAAUGUUAGUAGAUUACAUUCGAAAUGUAACUGUCAGACACCACUUGGUUUUAAUUAUACAGUAAUUUUUUGAUUUUUGUAUCUGCAUGCUCAAUUUUUAUUAUUCAUUUUUACCAUUUGCAUGUUUUGAUUAAUACAGUAUUGCAGAUGUGAUUUAUUUGUUACCCACCUUAAGUUUUAAACAAGCGAUUGUCUAAUGGUGCAUCUCAUUAGGGUCAACAGGUGUGUCCCGCCGCUCUGCCCCGUUUAAAGAGCCUGCUGCGGGGCAGCACGGAGCACGGAGUGGAGGUGGGCAGGCAGACUUUUACAAAACAAUUUUGACCAGUCGUUUUAAAGUGCUUUUAGAAAACUGUCCGCCAUUUGGCUUUUAGAACAUUGGUAAGCGAAUUGUUCUCGUGGCGGAAAUACCCACGUUCCCUCUGGUGUCCUUUUUUAUUAGUCUAUUUAAAUAGAGGUGCACCUCUUUUACUGGGCUUUUACGGCGUUGCAAAAUCUUUUGGUGGAAUGAAUAGAAUUUCUGUUGUCUGCUACGGUGGCGCACACACACCACCUCACCCUUUGCUUACAUGAACAUGGUUAAACCAGAAUUUAAAACAGACAACUUCUAGGCCAGUGCUCGCCGACCCAUCGAUCGCUUUGACCUAAAACAAAUUCAUACACAUAGUUUAUCAUUCUCUAACAUUUUCUGCAGUGUCUUCUGAAAUGUUGUCUUACGGACUGUGACCAACGUCAGAAAGGAUUCAUGAACUCACCCAAACGUGCGUUCUAGUGCACCUGGAUUCGCAUACAGAAACGCCCCGACAGCUCCUCUUAAGAGCAUGCAACUGAAGAGACGCGUGCACAAUCGACGGACCUCCACAACUUCAAAAUCACUGCUAAGGCUAGCAGUUAGCAAGCAUGGCAGAGGCUACACAAAAGAAGGCUGUUAUGGAAUAUUUCAAUAAAAGCUCGGUAGAAGAGAAUGAUUUGUCUGAUAAAAUAGAGUCUUGAUGAAUGAUCAAAGUUGCAAAAAGUCAAUUUUUUUGCUUGCAAGUAGGAGGUCAAAUACACAGGCACGUAUCACGGUGCUCUGUGGAAAUGACGUCCCCGAGCAGUAACAACGCUGAGUUUUUAUACACAUGUGAAGGACAUUCUCCGUGCCCGUUACGAGAAGCUGCAAAGCAGGUUGAGAUAAGAAC
ensembl:lncRNA